GAUGAACGCUGGCGGCGUGCCUAAUACAUGCAAGUCGAGCGAACAGAUGAGAAGCUUGCUUCUCUGAUGUUAGCGGCGGACGGGUGAGUAACACGUGGGUAACCUACCUAUAAGACUGGGAUAACUCCGGGAAACCGGGGCUAAUACCGGAUAAUAUUUUGAACCGCAUGGUUCACUAGUGAACGACGGUUUCGGCUGUCACUUAUAGAUGGACCGGCGCCGUAUUAGCUAGUUGGUAAGGUAAAGGCUUACCAAGGCGACGAUACGUAGCCGACCUGAGAGGGUGAUCGGCCACACUGGAACUGAGACGCGGUCCAGACUCCUACGGGAGGCAGCAGUAGGGAAUCUUCCGCAAUGGGCGAAAGCCUGACGGAGCAACGCCGCGUGAGUGAUGAAGGUCUUCGGAUCGUAAAACUCUGUUGUUAGGGAAGAACAAAUUUGUUAGUAACUGAACAAGUCUUGACGGUACCUAACCAGAAAGCCACGGCUAACUACGUGCCAGCAGCCGCCGUAA
rnacentral:rRNA from 1 species